GAUGAACGCUGGCGGCGUGCUUAACACAUGCAAGUCGAACGAGAAGUGAAGACGGAAACCUUCGGGCGGAAGGCUUUAUUUCGAGUGGCGGACGGGUGAGUAACGCGUGGGUAACCUGCCUCAUACAGGGGGAUAACAGUUGGAAACGACUGUUAAUACCGCAUAAGACCACAGCUCCGCAUGGUGCGGGGGUAAAAACUCCGGUGGUAUGAGAUGGACCCGCGUUCGAUUAGCCAGUUGGCGGGGUAACGGCCCACCAAAGCGACGAUCGAUAGCCGAUCUGAGAGGAUGACCGGCCACAUUGGGACUGAGACACGGCCCAAACUCCUACGGGAGGCAGCAGUGGGGAAUAUUGCACAAUGGGGGAAACCCUGAUGCAGCGACGCCGCGUGAGUGAAGAAGUAUUUCGGUAUGUAAAGCUCUAUCAGCAGGGAAGAAAAUGACGGUACCUGAGUAAGAAGCCCCGGCUAACUACGUG
rnacentral:rRNA from 1 species